GGUCUAAUACUGGAUAUGACCUCCUGUCGCAUGGUGGGGGGUGGAAAGGGUUUGUGCUGGUUGUGGAUGGGCUCACGGCCUAUCAGCUUGUUGGUGGGGUAAUGGCCUACCAAGGCGACGACGGGUAGCCGGCCUGAGAGGGUGACCGGCCACACUGGGACUGAGACACGGCCCAGACUCCUACGGGAGGCAGCAGUGGGGAAUAUUGCACAAUGGGCGCAAGCCUGAUGCAGCGACGCCGCGUGAGGGAUGACGGCCUUCGGGUUGUAAACCUCUUUCAGCACGGAAGAAGCGAAAGUGACGGUACGUGCAGAAGAAGCGCCGGCUAACUACGUGCCAGCAGCCGCGGUAAUACGUAGGGCGCAAGCGUUGUCCGGAAUUAUUGGGCGUAAAGAGCUCGUAGGCGGUUUGUCGCGUCUGCUGUGAAAGCCCGGGGCUUAACCCCGGGUGUGCAGUGGGUACGGGCAGACUUGAGUGCAGUAGGGGAGACUGGAACUCCUGGUGUAGCGGUGAAAUGCGCAGAUAUCAGGAAGAACACCGAUGGCGAAGGCAGGUCUCUGGGCUGUUACUGACGCUGAGGAGCGAAAGCAUGGGGAGCGAACAGGAUUAGAUACCCUGGUAGUCCAUGCCGUAAA
rnacentral:rRNA from 1 species